rnacentral:tRNA from 1 species
GUGGUGGCUCAGUGGUAGAGUGCUUGCCUAGCACAUGCGGGGCCCUGGGUUCUAUCCUCAGCACCACA